rnacentral:tRNA from 1 species
GCGUUGGUGGUUCAGUGGUAGAAUACUCGCCCUCCACGCGGCUGACCCGGGUUCGAAUCCCGGCUGACGCA